AAGACAUGAUGUGGACAUCUUCUAAGCAUCUUCUUGUACCUCUUCCAAGUUUCAUAGAGGGAUUCACUCUUUUUUUGGGAGAAUGAAUUGAUGUCAUUCCUCAUCCA